UACGUAGGGUGCGAGCGUUGUCCGGAAUUAUUGGGCGUAAAGAGCUCGUAGGCGGUUUGUUGCGUCGGCCGUGAAAACCUGCAGCUUAACUGUGGGCCUGCGGCCGAUACGGGCAGACUUGAGUUCGGUAGGGGAGACUGGAAUUCCUGGUGUAGCGGUGAAAUGCGCAGAUAUCAGGAGGAACACCGGGGGCGAAGGCGGGUCGCUGGGCCGAUACUGACGCUGAGGAGCGAAAGCGUGGGGAGCGAACAGG
rnacentral:rRNA from 1 species